rnacentral:rRNA from 1 species
AUUGAACGCUGGCGGCAGGCCUAACACAUGCAAGUCGAGCGGAGCGGCGGACGGGUGAGUAAUGUAUGGGGAUCUGCCCGAUAGAGGGGGAUAACUACUGGAAACGGGCGCUAAUACCGCAUACUAUCAGAUGAGCCUAGGUCGGAUUAGCUAGUUGGUGGGGUAAAGGCCUACCAAGGCGACGAUCCGUAACUGGUCGGAGAGGAUGAUCGUUCACACUGGAACUGAGCCACGGUCCAGCCUCCUACGGGAGGCAGCAGGGGGGAAUAUUGGACAAUGGGCGAAAGCCUGAUCCAGCCAUGCCGCGUGUGUGAAGAAGGUCUUCGGAUUGUAAAGCACUUUCAGCGGGGAGGCGUUACCCGCAGAAGAAGCACCGGCUAACUCCGUGCCAGCAGCCGCGGUAAUAC